rnacentral:rRNA from 1 species
AUUGAACGCUGGCGGCAUGCCUUACACAUGCAAGUCGAACGGUAACGCGGGGCAACCUGGCGACGAGUGGCGAACGGGUGAGUAAUGUAUCGGAACGUGCCCAGUUGUGGGGGAUAACUGCUCGAAAGAGCAGCUAAUACCGCAUACGACCUGAGGGUGAAAGCGGGGGAUCGCAAGACCUCGCGCAAUUGGAGCGGCCGAUAUCAGAUUAGGUAGUUGGUGAGGUAAAGGCUCACCAAGCCGACGAUCUGUAGCUGGUCUGAGAGGACGACCAGCCACACUGGGACUGAGACACGGCCCAGACUCCUACGGGUGGCAGCAGUGGGGAAUUUUGGACAAUGGACGCAAGUCUGAUCCAGCCAUGCCGCGUGCGGGAAGAAGGCCUUCGGGUUGUAAACUGCUUUUGUACGGAACGAAAAGCCCCGGGUUAAUACCCUGGGGUCAUGACGGUACCGUAAGAAUAAGCACCGGCUAACUACGUGCCAGCCGCCGCCGUAA